rnacentral:rRNA from 1 species
UACGAAGGGGGCUAGCGUUGUUCGGAAUUACUGGGCGUAAAGGGCGCGUAGGCGGUCUGAGUCGUCGGAUGUGAAAGGCCUGGGCUUAACCUGGGAACGGCAUUCGAUACGGUCGGACUGGAGUGUGGGAGAGGAUGGUGGAAUUCCCAGUGUAGAGGUGAAAUUCGUAGAUAUCGGGAGGAACACCUGUGGCGAAAGCGGCGCACUGGACCACAACUGACGCUGAGGCGCGAAAGCUAGGGGAGCAAAC